rnacentral:rRNA from 1 species
CGGAGGAUCCAAGCGUUAUCCGGAAUCAUUGGGUUUAAAGGGUCCGUAGGCGGUCUUGUAAGUCAGUGGUGAAAGCCCAUCGCUCAACGGUGGAACGGCCAUUGAUACUGCAGGACUUGAAUUACUGGGAAGCAACUAGAAUAUGUAGUGUAGCGGUGAAAUGCUUAGAGAUUACAUGGAAUACCAAUUGCGAAGGCAGGUUGCUACCAGUGGAUUGACGCUGAUGGACGAAAGCGUGGGUAGCGAACAGGAUUAGAUACCCUGGUAGUCCACGCCGUAAACGAUGGAUACUAGCUGUUGGGCGCAAGUUCAGUGGCUAAGCGAAAGUGAUAAGUAUCCCACCUGGGGAGUACGAACGCAAGUUUG